GCGAGACGCGUGACCCAACCACCGGAAGCGACCGAUAAACUGGUCGACGGAAUGUGCCGGGCGCAGCUCCCGGAGUUCCAUCAAUGAUCAGCCAGCAGCCGCUGCAACCCCAGGGAG
rfam:Streptomyces pratensis ATCC 33331, complete genome.